GUAAGAGGGAGGGUGGAAAGAUAAUUGAGAAAGAAACACACAACUUGAACUUUGCCUAAAAAAAAGAGAGAAAGGAGAAAGGGAAGGUAAACACUCUGCAGAUGGGAGAAAACAAGGUGCCAAGCGCAGAAUUCAGGAACAAUAGAGACAGCACCAUUUCGGAGCUGAUAGAAUUGUGAUACCAUGUGAGACCGGCGUAUUAAUAUGUAUUCCAUAAACUGUGCGGCUCGCAGCUCUGCACCGCUCUGUUUUGCUCUGACCGCAGUACCAGCCUCAGGCACCACAACACAAUUUGGAAACAAUGUGACGGAAAUGUUUAAUCUGCUCGGCCCAUCUGUGCUGCGUAUUUCUCCAGAUCUCCCUGAGAGAGGCGCCUUGAAUCUCCACAUUGCCUUUAAUAUUCUCCUAAAUCACCUCCCCACUGCACUUCAAGGGCCAUUGCUACAAUAUCACAGAUUGUUCCGGCGAGGGAAAGGCAACGUCCCAGUUGCGGAGCCCUACAGCCUGUCGGUGUGUUACAUCAUCUGCACACAUAGGCGUUUCCAUGACAACCGCUUAUAGCUUCAUUUCCUGGAUCCCUCUAGGGGGUGUCACAGCCAGAUCCACCUGCUUUUCACCCUACCCUCGGUGGGGUCAUGGAUGGUCUUAUAGAGGAUAAAUGAUGGGAAAAAUCUGUCAUUAUUGGGAGGAAGAAUGAAAAUAACAGCACGGCAUCAUUUGCCAUUUGAAAAUGGCCAGAUCUUGGAGCACCAACAAGCAAGAGAGAUAGAACAAGAAAGAUGUGAUGUAGAGACCCACCCAGUCAGAAUGUCCACAAGGCACUGCUCUUUUAGGAAUCGGCCAACACCUUUGCUAGGUGUUUAUAGAUGCUCUGUUUGUGGAAAGUACAGUGAAAAAUAACAAUUUGAAUGUUUCGAUUAUCUUUCCCAGUCCGUUCCAUUUUCAUUAUUUAUUUCCUAUAAAUCGGGACCUUGCUGAACAUAAUUCUACAGACAAGGAGGUGGAUGGGACAGCCUGUGUGAAGGAGGAGAUAGAUGGUGGGUACGUGUAAGACAGAUGCUAUGCGUUUAUGAAAAGGAGCAGUAUGUCUGCGUGUGAACAUCCACAGAGUAGAGCAAGCAAGCGUGUAAACUAUAAUGGGUAUUUAUAGGUGAAAAAAAAAAAAA